AUUGUGCUGCGACCUUUGUUUAACGCCGUUGGCGAAGCCAGGCUGUCCUAGGAAGCCGAGUGGGAGUGGCACGGAGCUGCUGGAGGUCCUGAGAACCUGAGUUUCGGCAAGCAACCAGAAUAUUUUAAAAAUGACUACACCAAACAAGACACCUCCUGGUGCUGACCCCAAGCAGUUGGAAAGGACUGGAACAGUACGGGAAAUUGGGUCACAAGCUGUUUGGUCACUCUCAUCUUGCAAACCAGGAUUUGGAGUGGAUCAGUUACGAGAUGACAAUCUAGAAACUUAUUGGCAAUCAGAUGGUUCCCAGCCUCAUUUAGUGAACAUCCAAUUCAGAAGAAAAACAACAGUGAAGACAUUAUGUAUUUAUGCAGACUACAAAUCUGAUGAAAGCUAUACUCCAAGCAAGAUCUCAGUCAGAGUAGGAAAUAAUUUUCACAACCUUCAAGAAAUUCGGAAGUGAAGAAUCAAGUGAGAAUGGAGGAGGUGAAGCUCUUAUCACUAAA
rnacentral:sRNA from 1 species